rnacentral:rRNA from 1 species
CUACGUGCCAGCAGCCGCGGUAAUACGUAUGUCACAAGCGUUAUCCGGAUUUAUUGGGCGUAAAGCGCGUCUAGGUGGUUAUGUAAGUCUGAUGUGAAAAUGCAGGGCUCAACUCUGUAUUGCGUUGGAAACCGCAUGACUAGAGUACUGGAGAGGUAAGCGGAACUACAAGUGUAGAGGUGAAAUUCGUAGAUAUUUGUAGGAAUGCCGAUGGGGAAGCCAGCUUACUGGACAGAUACUGACGCUAAAGCGCGAAAGCGUGGGUAGCAAACAGGAUUAGAUACCCUGGUAGUCCACGCCGUAAACGAUGAUUACUAGGUGUUGGGGGUCGAACCUCAGCGCCCAAGCUAACGCGAUAAGUAAUCCGCCUGGGGAGUACGUACGCAAGUAUGAAACUCAAAGGAAUUGACGGGGACCCGCACAAGCGGUGGAGCAUGUGGUUUAAUUCGACGCAACGCGAGGAACCUUACCAGCGUUUGACAUC